AGAGAACAAAAGUACCUUCUAGCUGCGUGCUUAUCCAAACUGCUGACAAAUGACAUCCUUCCUAAUGCUACAAAUGUCAAAGGCUUUCUGUUUGGACAAUCAGGCCUGUCAGUGGUGGCUCUGAAGAACACACAAAGAUGCUGGGAAGUCUAUCAGACUUUUUGUAGUGUCCUUGCAAGAGAUGACCAGACCAUGACCUGCAGACACCUGCUGUGGAUGUUUAAGGAUCUCCGUCUGUUGGAUGAUCAGCUGACCACAGCGAGGUUACUGAAGAUCAUCAAAGCAGAUAGCCGAGACCCCGACAACCUGUCCUCUUGCCUGGAUCUGGAGAUUACAUUCCUGGAGUUUUUUGAUGUGCUUCUGGGCUGUGCUGAGGUGAAAUCUCAGUGUGGUUCUGAAACUGUGAUGGAGCACCAGAACUUGUCCAGAUCUAAUGCUGAC
rnacentral:lncRNA from 1 species